rnacentral:rRNA from 1 species
AUUGAACGCUGGCGGAAUGCUUUACACAUGCAAGUCGAACGGCAGCACGGGGGCAACCCUGGUGGCGAGUGGCGAACGGGUGAGUAAUACAUCGGAACGUGCCCAGUCGUGGGGGAUAACGUAGCGAAAGCUACGCUAAUACCGCAUACGAACUCUGGUUGAAAGCGGGGGAUCGCAAGACCUCGCGCGAUUGGAGCGGCCAAUGGCAGAUUAGGUAGUUGGUGGGGUAAAGGCUCACCAAGCCGACGAUCGGUAGCUGGUCUGAGAGGACGACCAGCCACACUGGGACUGAGACACGGCCCAGACUCCUACGGGAGGCAGCAGUGGGGAAUUUUGGACAAUGGGCGCGAGCCUGAUCCAGCCAUUCCGCGUGCAGGAUGAAGGCCCUCGGGUUGUAAACUGCUUUUGUACGGAACAAAAAGGCUUUCUCUAAUACAGAGAGCUCAUGACGGUACCGUAAGAAUAAGCACCGGCUAACUACGUGCCAGCCGCCGCAGUAACAC